rnacentral:rRNA from 1 species
AUUAAUAAGCGGAGGAAAAGAAACUAACAAGGAUUCCCUCAGUAACGGCGAGUGAAGCGGGAAGAGCUCAAAUUUGAAAUCUCCGGUGCUUGCAUCGGCGAGUUGUAGUUGCGAGAAGCACUUUCUAGGUGGAUCGGCGGUGCCUAAGUUGCUUGGAACAGCACGUCGCAGAGGGUGACAACCCCGUCUGUGGCGCCGCCGGCCGCUGACGAUGUGCUUUCGAAGAGUCGGGUUGUUUGGGAAUGCAGCCCAAAAUGGGUGGUAAACUCCAUCUAAAGCUAAAUACUGGCGUGAGACCGAUAGCGAACAAGUACCGUGAGGGAAAGAUGAAAAGAACUUUGAAAAGAGAGUUAAAAAGUACGUGAAACCGUCGGAAGGGAAACGAAUGGACUCAGCAAUGCGCCCUCUGAGAUUCAGCCGCGUGGGUGGCGUCGGCGCGGGGUUUGCGGAUCUGAAUGGACCGCGGCCCGGCGCUCGCUUCUCCCCGCCGUCGCACUUCUCUGGGGCGCGCGUCAACGUGGGUUGGGACUGGGUCUGAAAGGUGCCGGGAAGGUAGGUGUGGGCCUUCGGGUCCGUUCUGUUACAGCCCGGUUCUCUCAUGGCUCGGGCCCGACCGAGGAGCAGACAGGGCAUGCCUCCUGUGGCUAGGGUCCCGUCCUUCCGGCCGGCUGUCCAGUGUGGUGGACUGCUUGCAGUGCUCUGCGACGGCUGCCGGUCGUUGGGGUGGUGAUCUCGUACCAUGCCCUUGGGAUGUUGGCGGUCAUAUG